rnacentral:rRNA from 1 species
CGUUCUUGAAACACGGACCAAGGAGUUUAGCGUGUGCGCGAGUCAUUGAGUGGCAAAACUCAAAGGCGAAAUGAAAGUGAAGGGAACUUUACGUUUCUGAGGGAAGAUGAGACGGUUUCUUUAUAGAGCCUCUCCGCACUCCCGGGGCGUCUCUAUCUCAUUGCGAGAGGAGGCGCACCUAUAGCGUACACGCUGAUACCCGAAAGAUGGUGAACUAUGCCUGGCCAGGACGAAGCCAGGGGAAACCCUGGUGGAGGUCCGCAGCGAUUCUGACGUGCAAAUCGAUCGUCGGAGCUGGGUUUAGGGGCGAAAGACCAAUCGAACCAUCUAGUAGCUGGUUCC